ACCACACUGCGGCUAUACUACGGCUACACUAUGUUCUGUUUUAUCAGCUCUUUUGCAUUGUGAUAAGCUAAUAACAGAAACUUUCACUUUUUUCAGCUUACAAAUUUAUUGUGUUCCUACUUGACGAUUUUCAGCUCCUAGCGCAAUAAAACGGGUUUAAAUUGUUCUUCAGUCUUUCUAGUAAACUGUCCAGAAUUAAUACUCGUCAUAAUAUUAUAAUUUUUCUACUCGUUUUCGUGAUUUUAUUAGCCCAGGCAGUUCACAAUGAUGGUAAAAUUUCAUCACAGAAGCUUCAUAGGAGCAAAAACCAAACGUUGGAGCAAUAAAACACUGUCGUGACUAUAUCAGACACAACUCAACGCGACGCCUCCUGGAGCAAAUUAUAAAUUCUGGAAAAAUUGAAAAUCGCGCCAGAGGCUCCAGAAUGACGUGAUCACCGGCUUAAAUGCAAUUCAUACGUGUCCCUUCAGUCCCCUUCUCAUCACGUUCAAAGUGGACUAGCAUUUGGCGUGAGAAUGGUUGAAACGGUAAAAUGUCAGAGAAAAUAGUCAAAUUUAGAUUAAGUAUCAAAAAUAUGUCAAAUUUACCUAUUGAAAGUAUUGUAAAUUUUUUUCAUUUUCUCGUCUUGGAAAAUGAGUUUGAGCAGCUGGAAUUAUUUUGGUUACGAGGAUUUCAGCCAAGCUUUUUCCAAAAAUCGACUUCUUAUUGCUUUUGUUGUUUUGUUGGUAAUUAAAAAGGAACAACCCAUGAAUUUAAAAAAAGGUUAAAUUUGAAAAAUUGAAAAAUUACUUACUUACUUUAUAAUCCUCUUUGGUGGAGUUAAGUAAAUACAUGUAAUAUUAGGUAUAUAUUUGAUAAAAUGCGCCUUGCCUUUUAUCUUCCGUGAUAGUUGACCAUGAGGGGUCCUGCUGAACCCGAAGGUCCACCAGCCCCAAGCGCCUGCUGACUUCUUCUCAUCCAUCUUAUAGUACAGUCAUUUUAGCAAAAUUUUUAGUAGAACCUCGAAAAAAUUGGGGGAAAGCUGAAUUUCACAUUAUUUGUUCAGAUUGGUCCCUAAAACAACCCAUCAAAAGUUGCACCCCCCCAAACUUGCCGGCUACCACCGCAAAAGGUCAUUAACCUUUGCUGAUAAAAGUUUUUUGGAUGUAUUGCCAAAAUCAAGGGUCCGAGAGGAAAAAUGUUCGAUCAAAAACUGUUCUACGCUAAAUUUCCUAUCAGCAUGACCAGUUCAGCAUUUCCCAAAAUGGAGAUUUCACCCUUACUGAGGAGGGAGUAAAGUUGUCCAUUUUAUGAAAAUUGUUUGAAAAAAUGAAAAUCGACAAUUUAAUUCGUGAACUCGAUUCACAAUAGACCCGAAAAUAUUAUGACCAAAGUUGCACUCCCCAGCAUGUCUGCUACCCCCGCAAAAGGUCAUUAACGUUUGUCAAUACAUAUACGUUUUUCUGCUAUAUCUCCGAAAUGAAGGGUCGGAGGAAAAAAAGUGAUUGGACUGAAAUUAUUCUGCGUCAAAUUUCCUAUAAGCAUGACCAGAUCAGUUAAAAUAUAUUUUUCGAUUUUUGGUGAAUUUAUGAAAAUCAAAAUGAGAAAAAAAAUUAAAAAAAAAAAAAAAAAAAUUUUACCAAAUUGAGAUAUAAAGCUGAAAUUUGGGACAUAGGGGACCCGGCCCUAAGAUGGCGCAAUUUUUUUUCUGAAGCCUGGUGCUCCUAAAGUAUCCAAACAAAAUGGACAAAAAUUUGAUGGAAGGUCCCUCAGACUAUCUACUACUUACCACCAGAAACGUAAAACUUUUGGUUUCAAUCUCUUGUCUCAAUCAAAUGAACUGUGAAUCAGUUCAAAUGUGCCAACGGCGCAAAACCAUUCCUAAGAUGGCGCAAAUUCAAUUAAAAUGUAAAACUGUAACUAUAUCGUUUGAAUUCGAUUGAAAUUAUUAUUUUAAAUGUAUUACGAUCCCUAAUUUACCCCCAAUUUUUGUGUUUGAGGCUGUUAGAAGUUUUUUUAGUGAUUUGGCUGACAAUCCCACUUUUUUCAAUAUUUUCGCAAUAAUACCUUUUUAUAAAAUAUUUUGAACAGAAACAUGUAAGAUUAGGCACACUAUAUACACUACUACAGGAUUCACCUAAAUCUACCCGUUUUUGUUGCUGAAAAGCGCCUGCUUUUGCGCUGCGCCAUCAUAGGACUGGUUAUACAAAUUCAAAUUUCAGUCAAUUUAUGAAUGAACAUGAACUCUAAUGAAAAAACUGAGUAGCGCAUUAGAAAGUAGAUGAAAUUUCGCACAUUAUAAGAUACUUUCAGUCACUUUUAGAAAUGAAACCAAUUUGAAAGAGCUUCCACCAAAAAUUCGAAAUGAUCGAAUUUUUAAGCAAGAAAAGAAAAAUACGUUUUCAAGAACGCAAGGUAAUUGUUCAAGCGAAUAUGACUACAGUAAAAAGUCAAGAAUGUGAAGCACAAAGACAGGGUGCAGUUGGUUUUUACAUCAGCGCUGCCAGAUGCCAGAAAUUUGAAUUGCGCCGUCUUAGGAACUGCGCCAUCAUAGGGCAGGGUGCCCUACCCUAUUUUCGACCAGCCAAAUCGGUUGGAAACUAUUUCAACCUGUUUUGAGCAGUUCUGGAGCCUCCAGCACAUAUCUACUGGAGGCUCCAAGAAUUUUCAAAAAAUCGCUGGUGGCCACAAAAUGACUCAAACCUUCCAGAAAUCCACUUAAUAGCGUGUUUAAAUUUGAUUGCAGCGUAAAUUUCCGCUUUCCAACCUUCAGUUGAUCAAAUUUUGUGGGAAUUUCAAUUUUCAAAAAUGUGCUGGAGGCUUCAGAACUGCUCAAAACGGGUUAAAAUGGUUUCCUACCGAUUUGGCAAGUCGAAAAUAGGGUAUCGUUAGAUAGGUAACUAGCUGGUCCUGGGAGAGGGUUAGGAUAAUACCAAAUGCCUAAUAGGUUAAAAUGAGAAUUACUCCCUAAGCAGUAUUUUUCAACACUUUAAAUAUACACUUACCCAAUGCUAGCUCAGCCGAAUGAGUACCAUUAAUUACCAGUCUAAACGGUAUAUUGAUCGUUAUUACCUUGUAUUAAUUCGAACCACGCAAAAUAAGAACACACGAUAAAUACGAGCACUUUGUUAUAAUUGUUGAAAAUAAUUAUAACACGUUACGCUUAAGUCUAAAUUCAAAUAUAAGUCCAGGGUUGAAAACCGUUUCAAAUUGAAUUGGUUGUGAUGGUGGUGGUUCUUAGAACCUUAGAAUAUUAGUGGUUCCCAGUUUCAGUUCCCAAAAGGUUCUCAGACAUGGUUUUGUUCUGGUUCCAAAAGGUACCUUUUCCAUUGUUCUUCCAAAAUGGUUCUCAGUUCUUCUCAAACUCAAAUGGUUCUGGUGGUUCUUUUUACUCCUCCUUUGAUGUUUUGCUGAUGGUGCUGGUUGUUCCACCAAUUAAAAAAUGGUUCCAAAUGGUUACAGGUCCUAAAAAUGACAAAAAAUUGAAAAUUUGAAAAAAUUCCCCUUACCUAGCUUAUUCUUAUUUCACUUUGGUAAGAAUAACAAAGUUUUAAUGAUGAGGGCACCAAAAAGAACCGAUUCCUGAAAAGGGUUCUGAUGGUUCUUCUUAUUUGAAACAUGUUCUGGUUCUUGCUCUGGUUGUUCUUUCCUUUAAAAACUCAAUCGGAUCUAAAUGGUUCUAAAUUGUUACAAAAUCAUUUUAUAUACCUAUAUGGUUGUUCUUUUGGUACUUCUCUUUUCCAAAUUUUGAAACUGUUCUGAUGGUUCUGGUUCCCAUUUCACCUGACCUAAAAAAGCGGUUGUGGUGGUUCCAAAUGGUUGCGGUUCCAAACGGUUUUCAACCCUGAAUAAAACUCUACACAUAUAUCUAAGAAAAGGAUAUUCCAUCGUAUAGUGGCGUAAGUAGGAUCGCUUUUACCUACUUCCGUGUAAACAAUCACUUUGCCCACGUUGGGUAUGCGAAUAGAAAGACUUUAGACUAAUACAUACACUUUUACUCUCCAAGACUAAGUUAUGUCGAGGCAGAGGACCUGAGACUCAAGCACUAAACUUACAUAGGAGUGAGUGGCCCUAUUAUCUCCGACAGUCAGACCUACACGGUGAAGCGCGAAUCAACAAGUGAAGUUCAGUUCCUUCUUGACUUGGUUGUUCAGCUGUUUGCCUUGAGUUGAGAAGGAAUUGAGCUCUAUGAACUUACGAGCUUUUCACAUCUGUCCUAAAUGGAAUGGUGUGAAAAUACCUCCCUGGUGGUUCCCACGUACUUAACCACUUUACCUUAAUGCAUCAGAUACACUUGCUUAAGUACUUAAAGUACUAUAGAAUUGAUCUAUUUGAUUGGAUUCUCUGGUACUUCCCUUAUUGAUGAAAGAUUUACAUUUCCACUGAUAGAAAUACGAAUACGAUAAGUGUCCCUGUCUAGCCAGUGAAGACAUACUGUCCCCUUACAAUGGAUUUUGGAUUUUACUUUGAAAAAUAAGGCUCGAGGUCUUGAAAAAUUGGUGAAUGUAAUCUCAAAAGUGUUGAAAAAAAGAGAUUUUAAAAAACAUCCAAAAUCCAGAUUCUCAAAAAUCUGUCAAAAUCUGUGUAAAAAGAACACAAUAAAUAAAUUUAAAAAAAGUCAAAUAUGAAAAGAUACUUACUUAAUAAUUCAGCUGAAGUUUAUUUAUUGUAAAUACCUAGAUAGAACGUGGCGUAAAAUGUAUUUCUGCUUUGUAGUUGCAUUCAUUACCUACGUUUUUUAACUUACCCCCAUAGUCCUUAUCACAAUACCUGUGAUAGUAUUACCUUAUCUGCAUCUGCCCCUUUCCUCAUUUUUAAAAUUACGUUUUUAAUAUAAUUGCAAAUCAACAGUUAAAAACAGAAAAAUUGAUUUAAACACAAAAAAAACUAUUUUCUUAAACACUGCUUAAACCUAUGGUAUAUCAAAUUGUUAAAGAUAAUGAUCAUAAUUUUACAAACAUUAUUUAUAAUAAAUAUUUGUAAUCUUCAUUGUAUACCUGAUGGCUGUGAGUUCAAUUCAAGUCUAGUCAAAGUUCUAUGGAAGAGCCUACCAACACCAAGCCAAUGGAGAUGACUAUUGAUACUGAGCCAAAAAUAUGUUUUCACACAGUUGAUGACUAAAUAUUAUUUAAUACAAAAAAAUAUGUUACUUGAUUGUUGUUAUUAAUUUUUCUCCUCAAUGUUUAUUCUUUUGUAAUUUUCUCUAAUCUAUUCUUGUUGAUUUUUUUCAUCAAUUGUGUAGGUACCUAUAUGUCCAUAGUUUUCCUGUAAGUAUUUUUUUCUUUGCUGCUAUUGAUUCACCGCAAUUAAUUCACUCUGUGGUUGUUAAGAAGACCAUUAUGAUUGCUAAUGUGUUGCUUAAAGUCCUUAUAAACUUAUGCCAUUUUAUUUUUAUUUUUUUAAAUCGGCUGUUGUUGAUUGUUCAUUGAUGAUUUGAUGGGUCUGUGACCUAAACUAUUGUCAACUUGAAUGUCAAUUUUUAAGGACUUGUAAAUGUUGUCUAUUCUUGUACAUAUUAUGUUGAUGCUUUGAAAAGGCACGCUGUGAGAUUAAUUUUUCAAUUUUAAUUACAUUUAGCUGAUGUUUAUCAAAUGAGUGAGUAGAUUUUGGUGAGGCAUUUGCCUAAAAUGCAGCAGUUUUCCUAAUUUCUAUUCAGUCUUAUUUCCUAUGUAAAAAUAGUCAGAUCAUAUUUCAAUAUGUAAUGUAUUGUUUUCAAAUUAUUCAUUGACACUUCCAUAAUCUAAGUAGGUAUACCUAUAUUGAAUUAUUAUCAUGGAUAUUUUUAUCUAUGUAAGUAUUUUAAAUUAAAUCUUAUAAUUUUUCAGUAAUAAUUUUGGUAGAACUGAUCUCAAAAUUUAUUCUCUUUUUGAUUGUUGAGAUUUUCUACCUUUUAUACUUAUUUCUUAUAUUUUUUCCUCUUUCUUAAAAUUUUUUUCAUUUGUAACUUUUUAAUGCUUAGAGGAUUUUAGUAUGGGUUUGAGCCCCUAUUCCAUGUUUUGUAGCCUUUGUUUUUCAUUCGGUUUAUUUUAAUUUUUUUUUUUAAAUUAUUAUUACUUUGCAUUUUUUAUGCUUUCUCUAUAAAUACGUAAUACUGUUAUAUUUUUUCUCAACUUGUAUGUGUUGUGUUUUGUUUUACUUUUUUCUCUGAUGUAAAUUUUUGCGAUAUAUGUGAUUCGAAUUAAACGAUGUCAGAAUAUUGA